rnacentral:rRNA from 1 species
GACGAACGCUGGCGGCAUGCCUAAUACAUGCGAGUUGAACGAUGAUAUUCUCUGCUUGCAGAGAAUUGAAGAGUAGCGAACGGGUGAGUAACACGUGGGGAACCUGCCCAUGAGAGGGGGAUAACAUUCGGAAACGGAUGCUAAUACCGCAUAAUGCUUUGGACCGCCUGGUCCAGAGACGAAAGACGGCUUUUGCUGUCACUCAUGGAUGGCCCCGCGCCGUAUUAGCUAGUUGGUGAGGUAAUGGCUCACCAAAGCUGUGAUACGUAGCCGACCUGAGAGGGUGAUCGGCCACACUGGGACUGAGACACGGCCCAGACUCCUACGGGAGGCAGCAGUAGGGAAUCUUCCACAAUGGGCGAAAGCCUGAUGGAGCAAUGCCGCGUGAAUGAAGAAGGUCUUCGGAUCGUAAAGUUCUGUUAUUAGAGAAGAACAAGUCAAGGAGUAACUGUCUUGACUUUGACGGUACCUAACCAGAAAGUCACGGCUAACUACGUG